AGAAAGAAAGGGAGUUAGAUCUAGAAAAAUCCAGACUACUUUAAAAAUUAAAACUUAACCCUUAACUACUAAUCAUACGUCUCAUAGACGUUACGGCUUUAUCCGAUUUGUCGUAUGACCCCUCCCUUUUAAUUUUGGACAGUGUCUUUUAUCGUAAUUUAUCAUCACGAAGUACUUAUUCAGUAGCCUGAAAUUAAUAACUAUGUGUGGUACUGUUUUCAAAAUAUCUUGAGUGAAAGAUCGAUUACCGUCUCUCAGACGUAUAGUUAGUGUUAACGUUACAAUAAAAAAUCACAGCCGUCCAUGCGACGUAUAGUUAUUUAAUUCGAAUCACGACGGAUUCUCGACCUACCACAUAUAAGGCUGUAAAAUUAUUAGAAAAUAAUUUUGAAGAACAAUUGUUGCAAUGGUUUGAUGAAUGUGGAAGUGAUGUUAGCGAAAUUCAAGAUGAAUGUACGGAAGAAAUCCAUAUUUAAAGUGAACAUAAUUCGGAUUCUGAAGAAAAAGUUGAAAGUGAGGAAGACAUUACUAAGAGUGCUAAUGAUAAUACAAUUACCAAGUAUUAUUAUGGAAAGAAUAGGUUUAAAUGGUCCAGUGAGUCCAUUAUUUCCAACGUUAAAAAAAAAGAAAAAACUAUUCCCUUUGCUCUUAUAAAAAAAGAGAAGAACGGCGUAUGUUUGUUACAAUUGCCAAAAUCCUAUUUGCCUAGAGUGUGCGAAAAAAUGUGUCCAGAUUAUGCGUCAAA